rnacentral:lncRNA from 1 species
UGGUUUCUACAAUAAUGCACCUCAAUUCCAAUUUGUGGAGAGGAAAAAUGUUAUCCUAAGUGUUGAUCAGGAAAAAACAAGCGAAACAGACCUUUUCAAGGCUGUGACAGAAGCAAAGGCUCUUCUCGAUCCACUGAGACUCAUCUUGACAGAGUACACUAGCUAUGUUGAUACUUCUUCAGCACCAGGUCACUAUGUCUUAUUUUGGGAGAUCAAGGGAAAAGAAGGCAAGCAUUGCAAAGAACUUGACCCAAAGAUAAUGGUAGAGUGUUGCUCUAGAAUGGAAGAGUCAUUGCAUUAUACAUAUAAAAUCUACAGGAAAAGGAACAUAAUUGCAGCUUUGGAGAUUAGGGUGGUAAAGCAAGGAAGUUUUGAGGCACUAAUGGAUUACUAUGUGUCCAAAGGAACUUCAUUGAGCCAAUACAAAAAACCUAGUUGCAUUAAAUCUGAGGAAGCCUUGAAGAUAUUAGAUUCAAGAGUGAUAGGAAAGUAUUUCAGCCCCAAAUCACCGUUAUAAUUAGUUUGCAUCAGUUCUUGUUUAAGAUUACCUAAUCCUUCCUAUGUAUAAAAACUCAGGAGAAUAAUCCUUUUCACUUUAUUGUGUAGGAAUACAUUAAUGUUUGGUAAAGUUAUUAAUGUCUUGUUUCGAACUCAAAGGCAAGCAAUUGUUACAGUUACACACGUAUUCUCAUGUAAUUUUCUUAUGAAUCGUUUGAUACAUUGUGGGAAAGUUGAUAUGGCAACAUCAAAGGGCUUUAUAUGCAUGGAAGAACAUAUUUGGGAUAUUUCUUAACGUAGUGCCUGAUGCUCUCUAUAAGGUAGGUAAAGUGGAAGAAGUUGUAGAAUUGAUUGAUGAGAUAAAGGGUAAUUUCCCCCUGAUAUUAUUUACUACACCACUUUAAUCAAUGGAUAUUUUCUUCAAGGUAUAGCUAAAGAUGCAUUGAAUUCAAGGUAUAGCUAAAGAUGCAUUGAACUUGUUCAAGUAGAUAAUGGAGAAUAGUCACAAGCCUUUGAUAUUGUUUCUUACGGUGUCUUUGUUAGGGGCUUAGCUAGAACUGCUCUUACAGAAGAGGUGAUCAAUCUUUGGGAUUAUGUAGAGACGCAAGGUUUGAAGUGUAACACUAUCAUGCACAACAUGGACAUUAAAGGUUGACAUUAAAGGUUUAUGUAAAAGUGGGAAGGUGAAGGAAGCUGAAGCCUUCUUACAUACGAUCAAUUUUGAGGAUUAAUUGUUACGAUCAAUUUUGAGGAUUAAUUGUUACACCUCAAACCUGACUCGAGAGUCCAGUCAAAUUCGAAGCGUUACAAUAAUUAUUGGAAUGAUGCACUCAAUCAAUCAUUCAAUUAAUGUGAUUAACCAAUUAAUUCAUUUUAAUAAAUUUGAUUAUCAAAUUUAAAAUAAAAGAACUCAAAUAAAUUAAUUUUUCAAUUCAAACAUACAAGGAUCGCUUGCCUUAAACUAAAUAUUUAACCAAUAUGAAAAUAACCCACAAAUCCAAUGGACCUAAAUACAUGCCAAAGUUAAACUAAGUGAAAACGUUAUCACAAACUAAGGAUUGCAAGGACUCUUUGGUAAUGCUAUUCGAUCUAAAACUUAAAAAUCAUCUAUAAUUGGUGUACGGAAUUAAAAAUCCAAACGCUAAGCAAUUUAUAGCUUAGUGGUGAUAUAAUACAUUUUAAACUACCUAUACUUAUAGUAAAAUAAAAACAUUCUAAUAAGAUAUACAUAUAUCUAUCUCUACUUGGAAUUAAAAACCAAAUAUAUCACAAGCAAUUAAACACCUAAAUUAACUUAGCUAACCGAUAUCCAAUAUCAACAACUAUUUGAGUGAGCGAUCAGCGGCUAUUUUGACGAUGGACCAGCAAUAUUUUGGAGGCAAGCAAUGGGGCAAUAAACAAGGCUUUCGGAUGAAGAUUUGAUGGCAAUUUGGAGGCACAUUUCAGGGGUUAGCCAAUUCUUACAUAAAUAAAAAUCCUAAUCUAAAAAUAAACUACAAUCCCAAUUUUUUAGGGUUAGCCAAAAAAAAAAAUCCCUAAUUUGAUUGUAUAAUAUAAUAUUUUGGGAAGUUUACCAGUCAAAUAUACAUAUAUUUGGUAAGGGAGAAACAAAGCAAGUUUUCCAGCAAAACAUAUGUAUAUUAAAAUAUUGUAUGUAAGCUAACAUUGGGUUGCCUAUUGUAGGGUUGGUGUUAUUUUGGUGGCAAUUUUUUAUUUUCAUUUUCUUCUCUUUUCAUUUUCCAUUUGAAAUAUAUGCUUCGACUGAUUAAAAAAUUGUUUCUAAAAAUCCUGUGUGUUGGCCUAAUUGCAAUAAUGUUCAUUUAAGUUCAAGUCGCGUUGCUAUUACGGCUUUAUCCUCCUCUUAUAAUCCAACCAAGAAAAUAAAGUUAUUUUCAAUCUUUUGAAUUUUGGUUAAGUUAAUACUAAAUUUUUAUAUUAUGCUGAUUACUAAAAUUAAUCUUUUUUAUUUGUUAUUGAAUUAUAUUCAUAAUUUUCAAACGAAACUUAAAUCUUAAUUAAUAAAUUAGAGAAUGAAUUAAAGUUUAUGAAUUAAUGUUGCAAUUUUUUAUUUUGUUUUAUAUAAAUUAAGAUAUAUUAAAAUAUUUUUUAAAAAAAUUUGAAGCGUUCCACUUAAAAUUUUAUAAAAAUAUUUAAUAACAUAAAUGUUUCAUUCGUUAGUUUGGAUAUAUUAUAUUAAAGUGGUUUAAAAUUUAAAUAUAAAAGUUAUAUGUUCAUAAAAGGAAAAAAGAAAAUCAAAAUUAAUAUAAAUAUAUUAUAUUCAUUUCGUUGAUUAAUAAAUUUGCUUGAUGUCAUUGAAGUAAAUACAAAAAAAAGAAAAGAAAAGAAAAGAAAAGAAAGUGAAAGUAUAUUAAAUAUGUAUUAAUUAAAUUUUUUUUCUUCGGCCUGACUCAAAUUUCAAUUAAAUAAUUUUAAAAUAUAUUUAUUUAAAUUUAAUUAUAAUAUUAUAAAAUUAUAUAUUUUAUUAUUGUAAAUUAUUUUUGACAAAAAAGGACCCGAAGGUCACUACCUUAAAUUAUAUUGCAUCCAAAAUAACAAUGUUAUGGAUAUUGUUAGGAUAAUUCAUUUCAAAAUUCAAGUUCCAACACUUAGAAAGAGACCAAUUACAAAGCGAAUCAGCUAAUUUGUUACAACCACGAUUUACGGAUUCGAGCAACUUGCGAGCUUCCUUGAUAUGAUGCCCAAUAAUCGUGAUGUCCUCCUUAUGGUAACAAAAGCGGUUGACAAUGCUUGCACAAUCCAUUUCAAAGAUGACUUUAUCAACGUUGAGAAUGUGAGCAAGCCGAAAGCCGUCGAUGAGAGCAUCCAACUCCGCCUGCUCAGGGCUAACCACUUUGUUGAAGAAAGACGCUUUAUUGCUCAAAACAAAGCCAUCGGAAUCUCUAGCGAUGAUGCCCAAGCUUGUGCCAUAAGAAUUCACGGCAACAUCAACAUUAACUUUUAUUACCCCUUUCGUCGGCUUUUCCCAUCUACAACAUCUAGGGACUCGGGAUAAGAUCAGUUGAGAAGAAAGAUUGUGAAUCUGGAAAUCAUUGUUGAGUUUACGGGCACGCUCCCGAAUCACAUUCGCAUCCUCCUCCUUACCUCUAAAGAUGGCACUGUUUCUACCAUUCCACAUAUUCCACAAUGUAGGAAUCAAAUCUUGGAAGACUUUUUUGUCUAAAAUCCGCAUGGAGCCUUCAAUCCAAUCGAUGCAAAAAUCACAAUAAAAAUAUUGAAAACAACCAAAGUGAAUAGAUAAUUACUAAUUAUGUUAUAAAAAAACAAAGAUUAAGUGAUAAUAGAUUAACUUUCAAACCACAAUUAAUACUACAAAUUAAUAACAUUAUCCAAGUGCAUAAUUAGUAGUAUAUCACAUGAUAUACUACAAUAUUUUUCAAGUGCAUAACUAGUAUUACACCACAUAAUUAGUACUACACCAUAUUAAAGCAUCAAUAUCUUCAAUUUAGAGAAAAUUUUUGAAGCCAAAUUUUUUUAUGCUUCGUACUUUUAGCUAAAAAAGCUUUGGCCUUAGAUUUACAACCCACAAGAUAAUCAAAUACACUACAAAGGAAGUCGUCAUUAAAUCUUUCUAACUCCAUCCACAACACUUCUUCAUAAGGAAUAUCUCAAACAAAGGAACACUAACUGAUGCAAUAGCAAGCUGCUUGACAUAAAAGAGAAUCAAUCAAACAAGGUCAUAAAACAAUCAUUGAAAUUACAAAUCAAUAAGUAUGAGCAAGAAGUAUAAGAAAACUUGAGCCAAUUCAAAAUGUAUAAACAAGAAAUGCUCGUAACAGCAACACAAAUACAUGUACAAACCAACAAACAAAUGAUCUAUAAUACAUAUGAAAAAAGGGAGUGAUUACCUAGGACACAAAAUUAAACACUAUCAUUCAAUUGAAUCAAAAUACAUCUACAAACCAACAAACAAACUUAAACUUAUACUAAAAUAAACGAUGAAAUUCUCUUUUAGAAAAUACAAAGGUAUUAGUUGUUUUGUUGUGAUCAUGAAUCUAUUUACAAUAUCAGAUAUGGUUUUGUUAUUUGUUUGUUAUUAUGUGAAGGAAUACCAUUUAGUAUAACACUACCUUAAAAAUAAAACGAAUAUAGAGUCCAAAACUAAGGAAGUUGAUGUUAAUAAAGAAAAAUGCUUGGUAAGCCAAUGACAAACUAUUGCAAACAAAAACAGUUACAACCUAUAACAUCAAAAUUAAGAAAAGAAAGAUAGAUAGAGACAUUGAAGCAGGAAGUGACAAACACAACAAGCAAAACCACUUAAGUUUCGGGUUUUAAGAGCACUAAAAUCUAACCUCCAACCUUAGUAGAUCUAAGAGAGAAAAAGAAACACCUGUAUUACAAAAGCUAUUUGGCUUCAGCUUGAAAAAACUUGAAUUCAUCUUGACCAUCGUCAAAUCAAGCUCGAGCUAGAGAAAGAGCUGAAUUUGAGUAUUUGAGUCAAGCAUUUUAAGAGCUUAAUCGAGCUUUUUCUUUUUAAUUACUAUUGUUUCUAUUUGAAUCCAAACUUGAGUAUAAAAACUGUGUAAUAUCAUGUUUUUCAGUGGUGUCGAAAACAGUGAUUUCAGGGUCACCAAAUCCGACGAGUAAGUUCGUAAAUAUUAUUAUUUAAUAUUUACGAGACAAGUGUGAUUUUUAACAAAGUUUUUGAUUUGAUAAUUUAUGUUAUAUAAGUGAUUUAUUAAGUUCAAGUGGUUUUAGAAAAUAAGGUAUUGGGGCCUUUUUUUUAUAAACUGAGCCGUAAAUAUUUUUAUAAAUAUUUACGGAGUGUCAUUUAGGUGGUAUUAAAGUUUCGUUAAGAAAUUUUAACGUUUCGAUUGUUAAUUAAUUAAAAAGGACGAAAUUAAAAAAAAGUGCAUUCCCGAGACUCCAUUUCUGUAAAUCGGACUUGUAAGUUAGUUGUGUAGUUAAUUAGGUUUCAGUUAAGUGAAUUUUCUUGAAUUAAAAGUAAUUAAGUAUAAGAACUAAAUUGCAUAUAGAGUAAAAAUUGAAUUAUAGAUUAAAGAAAAAUUAAAAAGACUAAAGAAGGAAUUAUGCCAUUGCCUUUAGUUAAGGCGGCAUAAGUUGUAAUAUAAUAUAUAUUGUAUAAAAUAUAUUUACUUAAUAUGUAAGUAUAUAUUUUAUAAUUAAUAAUAAAAUAAAUAAAGAAUAAAUAAAAAGAAAGAAAGAUAGAAACGAAACAGAAAGAAAAAGAAAGAAAGAAAAAAAAAGGAAAGAAAUGAAAGAGAAAGCCACGGCCUUAGGGGCUUUAAUUAUUCAAAGUUCAAUUAGUUAGUUAAUUUAGUCCAUUUUUCUUUUAAUUUUUAUGUUUUUGGAAUUCCGGUAUUAGAUACUACUCGAUUCAUGUCAAAAUUUUGGAAAUUAUUGAGUUUUUAAAUGUUGUUUAUGUUGAAUAAUUUGAGUCUUAGGGAUUAAAUUGAUAGAUUUUUAAGUUAGAAAUGAAAAAGGAUUGAAUUGUAGAAUAAAUUGAAAAGUUUGAGUAAUAAGGACUAAAUUGUGAAAAAUUCAAAAUUUAGGGAUUGAAGUGAAAUUAUGGAAUUAAAUAUAGUUUAGAGUGGAAAUUGAAUGAAAAUAUAGAAUUAAAUGUGAAAAAAUAAAGUUAGUCUCGGUUUAGGGGCUAAGUUGGAAUUUAGGCAAAUAUUGAGUAAAAAUUGAAAUUUUCAAUAUGAAAUUGAAUUGUGUUUUAUUGAUGAAUUUUGAUUGUUUUAAUUCCAUAACUAACAUCGUAUUAGAAUCCUCGACUAAAAAGGGGAAAGAUAAAGUCGACUUGAAAUAGCUCGGAAUUCCUAGUUUCUAUUUCUAUAGUCCGAAACUAGUUAUUAAUUGUUGUAAUAUUUAUUUAAUGUAUAUGCUAAGUGUUGAGGUGAGAAUUAUUAUGUUUUGCAAUUUAAAUGGAUUGAUUUAGUAUGUGAUGAAUUUAUUGAAUUUAUAUUGAUUGAAUUUGUAUAUAUAUAUAUUGAAUAUAUUGAUUAUUUGAAUUGAAAUGAAUAUUGGAUGUAUUUGAAAAGUGAAUUGGAACCCUAUUAACUGUAUCGGGCUGAGUCGGAUAUAGAUGGCAUGCCAUAAGAUUGGAAGAGUUCAGGAAUUUCUUUGACUUCGAGUCAAUGAGACACUGAGUGUCAAUUUACUACUUCGGAUUAAUUCGAUGAGGCAUUGGGUGCUAAUUUACUUCGGUUUAGCAGAUGAGACAUUGGGUGCCAAACUGGUGUGUUUUGGUUGGAUCCGUGUAUCCGUCUGAGUAUGGUAUGGGAAAUGGAAGUGAAAUAGUGAAUUAAAAAUAGAAUGUGAAAUAUGUUGCAAAUAUAUGGAAAAUAUCAGUUAUAUAUUCAUGAAAUGACUAUUGCAAAUAUAUGGAAAAUAUCAGUUAUAUAUUCAUGAAAUGACUAUGGAAUGGAUAUUGCAAUUGUAUAAUGAAAUGUGAAAUAAAUUGUGAAAAGCUAUUUAUAUAGCAAGUAUAAGAAUUGAGAUAUUUGUGAAACAAAUGAAAUAUGAUAUGGUUGUUGUAAUAAUUAAAUAUUAAUAUGUGUUUAUAUUUAAAUUGUAUAUUUGUAAUUUCUUAUCUUUAAAUAUUCGGAUUAUAGAAAUACCAUUGAGUUUAUACUCAACUUUCGAUUUAUUUUUCCAUGCGCAGGUUAGGUACUUAAGUUUGAUCGCGAUUUAGCAUUCAACAACGAUCCCAAACUCAAAUGUGGUGAUGUUUAUCCUUUGUGUCGGUAUGUACCUAGGGUGUUUAAAUAAUAGUUAUUUUUUGGUUUGAUUGUCAAUGAGGUUGUAAGUUUAAUUUUGGUUGGUUUUAUACAUAUAAAUAUGUGUUUGAUUGUUGAAGUUAUAUUAUGGCAUGGUAAAUUGAACUAAAUCUAGAUAGGUGCAUGUGAAUUUAAUUUUAUGUUUAAGUGCUCAUGAACUAGGCAAAUUGAUUUGGAUUUGGUAUGUUUAUAAUUUGGAUUAAAAUAAUGCUUUGAUGACUUGUUUUGAUGAUAUGAAAUUUAUGUCUGCUUGAUCUGUAAACUCCGGUAAUACUCUGUAACCCAAUUCUAGCGAGGGAUACGGGUUGGGGGUGUUACAAACUGAGUUUAUAUUUCACUUUAAUUGAGGUUCAUCUAGUUCGACUAUUAUUUCAAAUUGCUUCAGCUAUAAAAGCAAAAUUCAAUCAAACUCAAGUUGAGCUUGGAGCCUUGCAUUUCAGAUCGAGUUUCGAAUGGUUUGAGCUCGACUACACCUUGUAAAUUGACCUACCCUUUCGAUUCAGAUUACAUUACUCACUUGCAAAAUCAAAAAUAUACAUACAUAUUGAUACUAAAAGAGAGCAAAAAAGUUGAACCAGAUCAUUUUAACUUGAAAUAAGAUUAUGUCCAAGACAAUAACGUCCAUAACUUUUGCAGCAAUUAUUAGGAAAUUACUAACCAAAUUAUUGUCGCAUCACGAAUAUGAAUUGCCUAAAAGUUUACAAGCAAACUAAAAGCAUCCAAAUAAACAUUCAAAAAAAGCAUUUUUAACAUUCUGUUCCACUAUAAUUGUUAGUAUUUAACAAUAAUUCAUCAAAAUGAAAUACAAAAAGAGAAGAAAAAACAUGCAAUUGAUUCAUUAGAUCAAUUAUUAGAGAAGGGUAAAUAGAGAAAAUAUACCAUAAUGGGUCAAAAUUCAAGCUAAUCAAUGAUUUAUAUAAGAAAAAAAGGUUUUUUUUUACCCCAAGAAAAAGGGGGAAAACAAAAUUGAUUUCUAUUGGAAGAAAAAAGAAAGGGAAGAAAACAAAAUCAUGCCCACUAAUCCCAUUUGAACAAAUAACGUAUGAGCUUAAAGGCUUUAAAUUUUUAAUCAUUAGUUGUGUCUCAGCCACCACCACCACCAUUACCAUAUCUUAAUUAUUCCAUUACCACUAACAAAAAUCUAGCUUGCACAGUUCAAGGAAGAUGAAACUUAAAAAUAAUAAAAACCAUAAAAAAAACUAAAAAAAGAGGGAUUAACCAGUAACCAAUUAGGCUAAAACAAUAUGUUGCUACUAAAAAACAAUCACAUAUUUCUUCCUUUUUUUUAAUUGUUACCUUCGAGAGAGGAAGAUGAACACCAUCGUUGAUUGGUGCAGUGCAAAUUUUGACAAUGAAAGGCGAAAAGGAGGAAAAUUAAAGGUGAAUGCCGACGACUAGUGUUGAGAACCAUUGCUGGCCGGCGGCAAACACUAGAUCAAAGUGGGAAGGAAGGGGGAAAGGGAAAGAGGCUUUGGGUUACUUUACUGCUGAAGAAAAUUUUUUUGGAAAAUAUCUUACCAAAUGAAAACUGUAAGACAUUUUCCUAAAAUAAAACCUUCUUUUUUCGUAUUUUGGAGAAGGUUUUACGAUGGGAAUUCAUUUUCCAUCAAACAAAUAGUAAAAAAAGAUAAAAAUAUUUUUCGUAAAUUAUUUUACAGCUAAAUAAACACAGUCUUACACAAAAUAAGAUAUAAUUGAUGAGAUAAAAUUAUAAAAAUCAUAGAUAAACUAAACCUCUUUCUACCUAAAAUUAUUUGUUACAUUGGCUUUUGAAGUUUGGAAGAGGCAUAAAUUGGUACUAAAUUACAUUAAAUUCAACUUGCUUAUAAUUAUUUUAUAUCCAAGCUUAGUUUUAAUAUAUUUAAUAUAUUACUAAUUCAUGUUUUAAUCAUUUCAUUGAUGCCACAUUGUUUAUUAUGAGUGUCGACAUGUGUGGGUCUAGUCCCGUGAAUCUUAUUGUAUUUAGCGUAGGUAGAGAUUCCAUUGCCAAUAGCUAGAACAUCCCCAAAAAGAAAACAGAAAAAGCUGUCUGGAUCUCAGUAAUAGGGUUGAUGGCAACGAAUGGGUAUGAAGGUGGGUUGAAGACGAUUGAGGAACUGACCACAAAUGCUGAGCAAAUUCAAGACGAGGUAUUGAGGGAAAUACUAAGUCGAUAUGCAGGAACAGAGUAUUUAAUUCCUCCAUGGUCAAACCGAGAAGCAGCUCUUUAAGAAAAAUGUUCCCAUAGUUACGUAUGAAGAUCUUAAGCCUUACAUAGAUAGGAUUGCUAAUGGGGAGACAUCAGAUAUCCUUUUAGGUGAACCCGUUACAGGGUUCUAUCUAAGGCAUGCAUGAAUGUGUUGUGUUGCUUCUGUGUGUUUUGGGGUAUUGGUUGCUUCCUUCUAAUUGCUCUAUUAUCUUUUUUUUCAAAUGCAGUUCUGGGACUUCAGGUGGGCAGCCAAAGCUGAUGCCUGUUACUGCUGAAUUUGCUAAUAAGUGGGAAUUAUUUCGUGGCUUGUACGAGUCUUCUGUGAUAAAGUAAGGAACCCAUCCCUAUUUUCUUCUAGUUUUUCUUUCAGCUGCUUGUGAAUAUAUGUAUAUAAGUUACCAUAUUAAGCAAAUACAUAUAAUAUGAAUAUAUGUAUCAUAUACCACGCAGAUAGUAACACCCGUAUUUAGUAAAUACUACUUGUCCAUAUAUAGGUAUAAUAUAAAUAGUUGCUUUUCUUGCUUUUUGCAUUUACAACGGCGACUUAGUCCUAAAACUAACUAUUUGCCUUUAUCCGUCUAAUUUUAAAGGCACUUUGGUGACAUCAACCAAGUCGGUAAAAGACUGGAGCUUAUGUUUGCCAGACCAGAGAUUGAAACUGCUAGUGGCCUCAAGGCAGCAUCUGUUUCAACCAGCAUAUACAACGAGUGUAAUUUUAGAACUAUUUUGCCUAAGCUUUACACAAGCCCCAUUGAGACCAUCUUUUGCCCAGACCCCAACCAGGGCUUAUACUGUCAAUUACUUCUUGGUUUAAUCCAACGAGACGAGGUUAUCACGGUUGGUUCAAUCUUUGCAUCUACGGUGUUAAGAGGUAUCAAGUUUCUAGAAAAUCACUGGCAAGAGCUAUGCUAUGACAUAAAAACAGGUCGAUUAAGUGAUUGGAUCACCGACUCAGGAUGCAGAAAUGCAGCAUCAUUGGUCAUGAAGCCUAAUCCAGAACAGGCUGAUUUGAUAGAAAAUAUAUGUAAUUGUAAAUCAUGGGAAGGAAUAAUCAGAAAGCUAUGGCCUAAAGCAAGGUAUAUUUGUUGCAUAUGUACUGGCAUUAUGAGACAGUAUACUAUAGAACUCGAGUUCUAUUGCAGAGGGCUCCCUUUAGUUUCAGAUCUAUAUGCUUGCUCGGAAGCUAUUUGUGGGAUUAACUUAGAACCUCUAUGUAAACCUUGUGAUGUCUCCUAUACAUUUCUCCCUAACAUGGCUUACUUUGAAUUCCUUCCUGUGGAAAAUGAUCACGAUGAAUCUAUUGAAAUGAAGAGGAACGAUGAAGAUACUGAACUUGUUGAUCUUGUAAAUGUGAAGGCUGGUCAAUGUUAUGAAUUAGUUGUCUCAACUUGUGCAGGUAAAAGUUCCUCCUUUGAAUUUGUUGGUGCUGUAACUGAAACUAAUAGAAUCAGUGCAAACUUGUCAACCAAGUCUCGAGACUUGCUGAGCAAACAAGAGAAUUCGAGCCAGGAGAAAGAAAGAAAAAGCUCAGAAAAUGAAGAGGAAAAUUGAUGAACAAAACUAAACUUCAUUCAUAGGUUGAACAAUGGCAUAAUGCCAAUACAUAAACCAAGCAAUUUGCUUGUCAAAAUCUGCAUAAUGAUACCUAAUCAUCACCUACUACCACUAAUACAUUGAAACUUGAAAAACUAAGCUUGCACACUUAAACAAAGCUGACUUAACAGCUUAAUUGUCAUCAAAAUACAUCAAUCAUAAACCUAACAUUGUUCUAAAUGAACUAAAGUACAUUACAUUAACUUAAGAUUACAAGUUGAACAAAAUAGGAAUAGUUCAGCUCGUUCCAGCAGCUCCUGCAUGACUUGGUCUUGAUGGCCUGCAUGCUGUCGAGUUUGCUGCAUGCUGAACCAACUUCAUCACUCCUCCUUGGUUUGCAUGGAGCAAACACCUAGCAUCUUUCUUAGAUAUUCGAACCUUGUGACACUAAGAGCUUUGGUUAAAAUGUCAGCAAGUUGAUCCUCUGAAUUACAGUGGAUCAGCUUUACUUCCUGAGCUUGCUCCAUUUCUCGAACAACAUGCAACUUGAUGCUGAAAUGUUUUGUUCUUCCAUGGAACACUAGAUUUUUAGCAAUUGCUACUGCAGAUUGGUUGUCACAAAAGAUCUCAGUAGCUUCAUUUUGAUGCACAUUCAAGUCAGCCAAUAUUUUCCUUAGCCAUAUGGCUUGGUUGACAGCAUUUGCUGUUGCCACAUACUCUGCUUCAGCAGUAGAUUGAGCUACAAGACUUUGCUUCUUUGAGCUCCAACAAAACAUGGCUGAACCAAGGUUAAAAGCAUACCCUGAGGUACUUUUCAUGUCAUUUAUCGAGCCAGCCCAGUCACUAUCAGUGUAGCCAACCAGCUUCAGAUUUCCUUCUUUGCUGUACUUCAAACCAUAGUUUAAAGUGCCUUUGACAUAUCUCAGCACUCUCUUUGCAGCUUGGAAAUGCUUCUCAUUGCAGCAAUGCAAGAACCUUGAGAGCAAUCCUACAGCAUACAUGAUGUCUGGUCUAGUGGCAGUCAAGUAUAGCAAGCAACCAACUAGACUCCUGUAGGUUGUUUCACAAACUUUCUUAAAAUCACCUUGGCUCGAUAGUUUUUCUCCAACAGCAACAGGUGUUUUAGUUGCCUUGCUGUUUUGCAUGGAGAACCUGGUCAGAAUCUUUGUGGCAAAGCUUCUCUGGCUUAAAAUUAUCUCAUUCUGUACUUGAGACACCUCCAUUCCGAGAAAAUAUGACAUCUCCCCAAGAUCAGACAUUUCAAACACUUCUUGCAUCUUGGUCUUGAAGUCAGCCAGCACUCCUCUAUCUCCUCCUGUCACUAGAAGAUCAUCAACAUACAGGGAUACAAUGAGCUGUAUUUGUGUCCCUUGUUUCUUGACAUACAGUGUUGGCUCACUCUUGCUUCGAUCGAAUCCCUGAUCAGUCAAGUAGCCAUCGAUUCUGCUAUACCAAGCCCUUGGAGCCUGUUUUAAUCCAUAUAGGGCCUUCUUCAGUUUGUAGACCAUAUGCUCUCUGCCAGCUAUUUCAAACCCUUGUGGUUGUUCAACAUAGAUGUCUUCAUCUAAGAAACCAUUCAGAAAGGCUGAUUUCACAUCAAGUUGAUGGAUCUUCCAUUCGAGCUGUGCUGCUAAGGCAAUCAGCAGUCUGAUGGUGUCGAGCCUGGCCACUGGUGCAAAGGUCUCCAAGUAGUCCAAGCCAUACCUCUGACUGAACCCCUUGACAACUAGCCUUGCUUUUAGCUUGUUCAAGGUACCAUCAGCAUUCUGCUUGGCUUUGUACACCCAUUUCACCCCAAUCACCUUCCUUUUGACUGGCCUUUCAACCAAUUUCCAGGUCUGGUUCUUCUCAAUCAUGCUGAUCUCCUCAGCCAUUGCCUGCUUCCACCCUUGUUGAGCCUCAGCCUCUUCAAAGUUGCUUGGUUCAGCUAUGGCUACAUGAGCCCUUUCAUAAAUCUCAGCCAAUGACCUUGUUCCUCUGACUGGUUCAUCAUCAAUAUCCAUUUCAGGGACAUUUUGGUCUGGCUCAGCUUGGUCUGCUGCAAGUUCUUCAGAAACUUCUUCAGGUUCAUGUCUUUCCCAGUUCCAACAUGACCUCUCAUCAAAUACCACAUCCCUGCUUAUUGACACUUUGUUUGUUGAAGGAUCUAAAAUCCUAUAUCCCUUCUUAACAGUGCUAUACCCCACCAAAACACCAGGUCGAGCCCUUUCAGACAAUUUGUCCCUUUUAACAGCAGGUACAUGUGCAUAACAGAUGCAUCCAAAGACCUUCAGAUGAGCCAAUGAUGGCUUGAAGCUAAACCAGGCCUCGAAUGGGGUCUUUUGAUCCAAAGCCUUGGUUGGAAGUCUAUUUUGAAUGUAUGUUGCAGUGUUAACUGCUUCUGCCCAUAGUGCUUUAGGCAGAUUCUUCUGAAUCAUCAAGCACCUGGCCAUAUCCAUCAAACUCCUAUUCUUCCUUUCACUUACCCCAUUCUGCUGAGGUGUAUAUGUGUUGGUAAGUUGAUGUUUGAUGCCUGCCUUAUCAUAGAAGGCUUGGAACUGAGCUGAGGUGUACUCAGUCCCAUUAUCAGACCUUAUGGUCUUCAGCUUGCAGCCUGUUUCAGUCUCAGAAGUAGUCUUGAACUUCCAAAACACUGAGGCCACCUCUGAUUUCUGUUUUAAAAAGUAAAUCCAGCAAUAUCUCGAGAAAUCAUCAAUGAACAGUAUGAAAUACCUGUUUCAACUUAAUGACUCAGUCUUCAUAGGGCCACACACAUCAGUAUGCACCAGUUGGAGUUUUUCAGAGGCUCUCCAGGCUUGAUUCGAGGGAAAUGGGAGUCUGGCCUGCUUUCCUAGCUGACAUACAUCACAUACAUCAUCAUGGUCCACUGAGUUGAUGAAAUUUUCAGCCAGGUCCUCUCUGACCAUUCGAGCCAUCGAUCUGAAGUUAGCAUGUCCCAGUCUUUGAUGCCACAGCUUGGAUUCAUCUGAAGUGGCUGUGUAGGCAAUGUCUGACUUUUUUGUCCAGUCAACCACAAAGCUCUUAUCAGCCAUAGGGACUGCCAUCAGUUUGGAUCCACUUGGAUCACUGAUUUGGCACUGGUGGUCUUUAAACACAACUGAAUAACCUUUUUCCAGCAACUGAGCUAUGCUGAGCAGGUUUCUGUCAAUUUCAGGCACCAACAGCACAUUUGAAAUCACUUUGGUACCUGUAAGGGUGCAUAUUAGCACAUCACACUUGCCUUCAGCUUGAAUAAAAUGACCAUUUCCUAUCUUGACUUUAGUUCUGCAGCUUCUGUCUAAAGACUUGAAGAUUGCAGCAUCAGGUGUCAUGUGGUUGGUGCAUCCACUGUCUAGGAGCCAACCAGAUGAGGACCUUUCCUGAGCAGCUGAGCAUGACACAGCAAAGACUUGCUCCUCUUGGUCACUGUCCUCCUUAGCUACUCGAGCCUCAGCUUUCAUCUUUUGAAACUGAUUCUGCCUCGAUUUGGUCUUACUCUUGCAGACUCUCUCAACAUGACCCUUCUUCUUACAAUGCUGACACACAGCAUCUGGAUUGAACCAGCAUUUUUCUUCUGAAUGACCAGUCUUUCUACAGUGCUUGCAAGUCUGACCUUCUCUCCUUGCAGCAUCAUUCUUUGGCUUGUCUCUCCAGGCCUUCUUGCCUUUGUAGGCAGUAUUUGUUCUUGCCUGAAAGGCACCUUCUUGGUGCUCCUCCAGUCUGCUUGCUCUCCUCUGCUCUUGAGCAUAUAGAGCAUUGAUCAACUCUGUCAGGGAGAUGGUGGACAGAUCCCUUGAGUCCUCGAGAGAUGAGAUUUUUGCCUCAUACCUCUCAGGCAGAGUUGCUAUAACCUUCUCCACUAUCCUAGCUUCAUUGAACUGCUCUCCAAGGAGCCUGAUGCUGUUAACCACAGCCAUAAUCCUGUCAGAAUAUUGCUUGACAGUUUCUUCUUCCUUCAUCUUCAAAUUCUCGAAAUCUCUCCUCAAGUUUAACAACUGUUGCUGCCUUGUCCUCUCUGUCCCUUGAAACUCUUCCUGCAACUUGUCCCAGGCCUGUUUUGGUGAUUCACAGGCCAUAAUCCUUGUGAAAAUCACAUCAGACACUGAGUUUUGGAUGUAAGACAUAGCUUUGUGCCUCUUGGUCCUUUCAUCAGCAUGCUGCCUGAUCUGAGCCACUGUUGGAUUAGCUCUAAGUGGCUCUGGUUCAACAUCAGAGUUGACCACCUCCCACAGAUCGAAAGCCUGCAGGUAGGUCUUCAUUUUGACCACCCAUAUGUGAUAGCCUUCUCCAUUGAAGACUUGAGGUGCAGCUGGUGAAAAGCUUGAUGAAGCCAUGGAAUUAUGUAACAGAUCCCUUAAGAAAUAGGCUCUAGAUACCAAUUGUUGGUGCUGUAACUGAAACUAACAGAAUCAGUGCAAACUUGUCAACCAAGUCUCGAGACUUGCUGAGCAAACAAGAGAAUUCGAGCCAGGAGAAAGAAAGAAAAAGCUCAGAAAAUGAAGAGGAAAAUUGAUGAACAAAACUAAACUUCAUUCAUAGGUUGAACAAUGGCAUAAUGCCAAACAUAAACCAAGCAAUUUGCUUGUCAAAAUCUGCAUAAUGAUACCUAAUCAUCACCUACUACCACUAAUACAUUGAAACUUGAAAAACUAAGCUUGCACACUUAAACAAAGCUGACUUAACAGCUUAAUUGUCAUCAAAAUACAUCAAUCAUAAACCUAACAUUAUUCUAAAUGAACUAAAGUACAUUACAUUAACUUAAGAUUACAAGUUGAACAAAAUAGGAAUAGUUCAGCUCGUUCCAGCAGCUCCUGCAUGACUUGGUCUUGAUGGCCUGCAUGCUGUCGAGUUUGCUGCAUGCUGAACCAACUUCAUCAGAAUUUAAUCAAUUAAUAAAAUGCCAUCUUCUAAUUUUGCAUUAUGCUUCCUAGUUCCUACAUUAACCUGUUAGAUAAUGAUCUAAUCUUGUUUGAUGGUAUUCCUUUCAGGAUUAUAUCGAUAUAAAGUUGGAGAUGUUCUUAUGGUGAGUGGUUUCUACAAUACUGCACCUCAAUUCCAAUUUGUGGAGAGGAAAAAUGUUAUCCUAAGUGUUGAUCAGGAAAAAACAAGCGAAACAGACCUUUUCAAGGCCGUGACAGAAGCAAAGGCUCUUCUCGAUCCACUCGGAUUCAUCUUGACAGAGUACACUAGCUAUGUUGAUACUUCUUCAGCACCAGGUCACUAUGUAUUAUUUUGGGAGAUCAAGGGAAAAGAAG